rnacentral:rRNA from 1 species
UACAGAGGUCCCAAGCGUUGUUCGGAUUCACUGGGCGUAAAGGGUGCGUAGGCGGCCGGGUAAGUCUGAUGUGAAAUCUUGCGGCUCAACCGCGAAACUGCAUUGGAUACUAUUCGGCUUGAGGGUUGGAGGGGGGACUGGAAUUCUCGGUGUAGCAGUGAAAUGCGUAGAUAUCGAGAGGAACACCAGAGGCGAAGGCGACUACCUGGACAAUUGCUGACACUCAGGCACGAAAGCAUGGGGAGCAAAAGGG